AGCAGGAGCGGGACACCAGUCGGCGGGAGCUACGGGAGUUAUUGGACUGCCGAGAGUUUAUAGAGCAAGAGAAUCGAGUCUGCCGGAGCCAUCUCCGGGAGGUGGAGGAGGAGCUGAAGGCCAGCCGUUCGGCCCUGUGGGAGCGCAGCACCCAGCUAGAGGAUCUGAAAGAUGCCCACCAAAGCCUUCGGCAGGAACAGGAAGCUCUCU